rnacentral:sRNA from 1 species
UAUAAAAAGCGGGUAUAUCUUAUAAUGUGCCUCUGGUGCUCCCUUCCAUCGGUUAGCAAUGAGCCAGAAGAAAUAGGCAUUAUAGGGGUCGCUUUUUAA